CGAAGUCACUAGUAUAUAUAUAUAUAUAUAUAUAUAUAAAUCACAAGUAUAAUACUAAGCGAACUUUUUCCUGACGUUGAUGGCAUAAGACUUGUACCUUAGCUUCGCGUGAACCAGUUGAAUCCGCUAGGCCGCUAAAUUUAGCCGCCAAAAUGUGCAAACAUAAUUUUUUGGCACCUUUUCAAAUACUUGUAGAGUCAUGUCAUGCGUUUCCCGAUGUAGAAUAGCGCUUCGAAGGCCGCAUCCUUACUUACAAUGAGGAUGAACACACAUACGUUAUGUUAAUCCAGCUUGAAACUCUACGGAGGUGUAGAUCAACAGCAACUGUAACGUUCAAACACUGAACGGCAGCUCGUAUCGAGACGAAGUGAUCAACCCCCACCCUUACGUGAAGUGUUGAACAGCUCUACGAUACGAUCCGACAUGAAUACACAAACAGACGCAUUCGCUUAAUAGUCACCGGGUCACGACCGGUGAAAGGAUUCUGAUGCUUUAACAAGGCGUUUGGUCGGCACGGGAUCAAAACACCUUCUCUGAGGCGGUUCAGCGGCGAAAGGGAGACCUCACGUGACCCAUCUGUCGUUCGUGGCGUCACUGAACGACCAUGAGCGGAUGCACGACCUAUUCUAUCUGCCCUUCUUGGGGGAAGGGGGUGCCAACAAAUUGCAGCUUCCAUGGCGUACUAUAGAUAAUACGCAGCUUGCUACGUUGCUGUAAAUUAGCAAAUUUGAUAGCGAAGAGGCGCACUCCACAUGUCUAAUAGUUUUGAGAGCUCAAUUUAGCAUACGGUACGCGAGCCCUUUAUGCUGUGUGAGAAGAUUAUAAGUUUGCAGCACUCGACAGAGUCUUGGUCGUCUGUUCAAUAUAUAUAGCGUCUGAGUUAACUUCGAAAUGGCGAUUGCUGAUAAAGGCCCUCGAGUAACAAUCGAGAAGAGCGCCCAUGAAACAGGAAUAAUGACAGGGAACAUGAAUACUCUGGCAGUGUUGAGAUCAGUUGGACACGUAAGAUCAGCGGGGCGGCGACACAAAAAGACUGAUAUAGAAGAAAACUAUGCAGUAAAUCCGGUCUUCACUUCGACGAGUCAUCUGUAACUUUUUGAAGGGCGACUCCGAAGGAAAUCAACGUCUGUUCAGUGUUCGCUCAAACGCUGAUGUCAACAGCCGGGCGACCACAUGAGUGGAAUCGAUUGCAAAUUAAAUGCAACCGAUGGUGUUUCUGCCUUUCUGAAAUCGUCAGUAAAAAUUAAAUCAGCACGAACGCGUAAUCGUGUAAUGGCAGUAUGUUUAUUGGGCACUUUCGGUCGAAAAAAUCUAACUUGCCGUUCUUUGUUUUUCUGAAAGACUAGCAUAUAUGUAUGUAAGUAGGGAGCAGGGUGCGGGAGGAAACUUCACGUUUUCCACGUGCACUUUUCGUUAGAUAUUACCUCUUCGGUUACUCUGUUAUCGUACCAACAUGAAGGAAAGAUCACACUGCGUGAAACAAAGAAUUGUUUUCAACAAGGAUUUACCACGUGUAUGGCCAGUCGACUUGCCACGAGCCAAAAUCUUCACAUGACUUCUGGCGUAUUGUUGCUCUUCAACUGCGUCGUCCUUUUGCAGAAAUGACUGUAUAAAGGACAAUCAUUGAAAGAGAAAUGGAAAUUGUAUCAAGUUUAAUGAAGAAUUAGCGUUCCACUUACAAGUUGAGAGGUCAAUUAAAAAAGAG